UCUUCUCCACCUUCAGUCGAUCGAGUUGCUGCUCCUCUUCCCCUCGCGUCUCUUCUCCUCCUUCAUCGCACAGUUGUUGCUCCUCUUCCCCUCGGCCUCGCGUCUCUUCUCCACCUUCAGUCGAUCGAGUUGCUGCUCCUCUUCCCCUCGCGUCUCUUCUCCUCCUUCAUCGCAGGAGUUGCUGCCAGGUGACCUCUUUUUUUUCUUCUUCUUUUCAGUUCUUCUUCUUCUUGAGUUCUCUUCUUCAGUUCUUGUUCAAAUUUCUUUUUCUCUGCUUUUUUCGUAUCGUUUCUAUUGCUUCUUUCUUUUUGAGAUACAGCUGCCUUCACUGCUCUGUUUUUUACCUUUGUUUUUUUCCUCUGUUUUAUUGUUCACAUUUUACUGCUACUGCUUAUAAUUUAAAAAAAAUUAAUUAAUUCUUCUAUAAUUAUUUAUUCAUUUGUCCAUAAACAGUGAAUUGACUGAAUUCAAUGGCGGAUGCCAGCAAAAAGAGGGACAUUGGAUGGAAUUAUGGUACUCAAGGAGCAACGAAAGAUUCGGUUAAUUGUAACUUUUGUGGGAGUACUUUUAAUGGUGGCAUAACUCGACACAAGCAACAUUUAGUGGGUGGUUUCAAGAAUGUUAAACAAUGUACAGCUUGUCCGUCGGCGAUUAGAGAAGAAGUAAGGGCUUAUAUGCAAAAUAAAAUCGCUAAUAAUCCAUAAUUUCAAGUGAGGCAGCC
rnacentral:lncRNA from 1 species